GCACACAGCUGCACAUAGACUACAACCUGAGCAUUGCACACAAAAGAUGUGCAUAGGCUCUGCUCAAGGAUGACACAUAAGUUCACAAAAUGUUCUAUAUUUUU
ensembl:snRNA